AGCGUAGACGGUAAAGCAAGUCUGAAGUGAAAGCCCGGGGCUCAACCCCGGGACUGCUUUGGAAACUGUUUAACUAGAGUGCUGGAGAGGUAAGCGGAAUUCCUAGUGUAGCGGUGAAAUGCGUAGAUAUUAGGAGGAACACCAGUGGCGAAGGCGGCUUACUGGACAGUAACUGACGUUGAGGCUCGAAAGCGUGGGGAGCAACA
rnacentral:rRNA from 1 species